CACCCCCCCUUCCUCCUCCUCCGUUUCGUUUUGAAAAGAAAAAAAAAACACCCCUCAAACCCCCCUUAAACCCCUCGAUCCAUUUACAUCGUUUAGGCGAUCUUUGAAGGAGAUUUAAGCCCCAUUCGAAGCAUGGACAAGCAACUAGUGAUUUGGGACGAAGAAUCAGCCGCAAAGGUACGUGUUCCACCUUGUUUCGAAUUUUUUUUUUUUCACGGUUCGUGCUCCGUUCGGCACUGGAUCGCCGAACAAAAGGCUUCUGUUCGGCUGAACAGUGCCGAACAGAAGCCUUCUGUUCGGCAACCCUCAACCGAACAGAAGGGGUUCUGUCCGGCUCUGUGCCAGCCGAACAGAAGCCUUCUGUUCGGCACUGUGCAGCCGAACAGAAGGC
rnacentral:lncRNA from 1 species